ACUUGUCUAGCUCAAUUGGUAAAAUUAAGGCUUUUAAACUUGUGGUCGUGGGUUCGAGCCCCACGGUGGGUG
rnacentral:tRNA from 1 species